rnacentral:tRNA from 1 species
GGAAUAUUAGUUUAUGAAAAAUAUUAUACUGUAAAUAUGAAGAUGGGUAGUUCUUAUGUUCCA